rnacentral:rRNA from 1 species
UACGUAGGGCGCAAGCGUUGUCCGGAAUUAUUGGGCGUAAAGAGCUCGUAGGCGGUUUGUCACGUCGGCUGUGAAAACCCGAGGCUCAACCUCGGGCCUGCAGUCGAUACGGGCAGACUAGAGUGCUGUAGGGGGAGACUGGAAUUCCUGGUGUAGCGGUGAAAUGCGCAGAUAUCAGGAGGAACACCGGUGGCGAAGGCGGGUCUCUGGGCAGUAACUGACGCUGAGGAGCGAAAGCGUGGGGAGCAAACAGG